rnacentral:lncRNA from 1 species
ACCACCAUAGAAAAUAAAUUAGACUUAGACACAAUCUUAAUCUUGGAUUGGAACAAAAUCGAGUCCUCCUAUUUUGAUACUUGAGUACCAAAAAUUGUCAUUGCAGAAGGAAAAUUCAUUCACAAUUAAUUUUGAAAUAAAAACAACCUUCACUAUUUUUAUUUAAAUUACCAUAUCAAAAAACGCGAUGAUUAAGCACAACACAUUAAUCUUAGAUAAGAGCUGCAUGUAAUGCUAUCUUGAUGCCAUAUUUGUAGAUUCCUUUUACACGGUCGGUCCCGAAAUGGGAAAGAUCUCUCUCACUUGGAAUCAAUACCUAAUAUUACAUGGAAAGCCUGAAAGCCAGCGUCCCCAUAAGACCACCCUGCAUUACACGUCUGUCUUCUCUUCCACUUAUUAUCACCAUGUUAUUCAGAAAUCCUGCAAAGGAUUUGACCUUUAGCGGAAAGAAAAGGCCACUUUAUUGUAUGAACUGAUAAUUAUAUUGUCAUGGA